rnacentral:rRNA from 1 species
AACGCGAAGAACCUUACCUGGUCUUGAAAUACAUGGGAUCGCGUAUGAAAGCAGGUUUCCCUUAGGGGCAGAUAUACAGGUGCUGCAUGGCGGUCGUCAGCUCGUGCCGUGAGGUGUUGGGUUAAGUCCCGCAACGAGCGCAACCCCUUCUGUCAGUUGCCACCAAGUAAUGUUGGGCACUCUGGCGGGACUGCCUGUGUUAAGCCGGAGGAAGGUGGGGAUGACGUCAAGUCAGCAUGGCCCUUAUGACCAGGGCUGCACACGUGCUACAAUGGGGGGUACAAUGGGACGCAAACCCGCGAGGGGGAGCAAAUCCCACAAAACCUCUCUUAGUUCAGGAUUGCAUCUGCAACUCCACUGCUUGAAAUUGGAAUCUCUUGUAAAUGCGUAACAACUACGACGCCGUAAUACGUUCCCGGGUCUUGUACACACCG